rnacentral:rRNA from 1 species
CCCUUAGAUGUUCUGGGCCGCACGCGCGCUACACUGACGAAUGCAACGAGCUUAUAACCUUGGCCGAAAGGUCUGGGUAAUCUCCAAAUUUCGUCGUGAUGGGGAUAGAUUAUUGCAAUUAUUAAUCUUCAACGAGGAAUGCCUAGUAAGCGCAAGUCAUCAGCUUGCGUUGAUUACGUCCCUGCCCUUUGUACACACCGCCCGUCGCUCCUCCCGAUUGAAUGGUCCGGUGAAGCGUUCGGACCGUGGCCUUUGGACGGUUCGCCGUCUGUUGGCUGCGGGAAGUUCGUUAAACCUUAUCAUUUAGAGGAAGGAGAANUCGUANCA